GCGACCCCAGCUCAAGCGAGAACACCCGCUGAGUUU
rnacentral:rRNA from 1 species